rfam:Schistosoma curassoni strain Dakar, Senegal genome assembly, scaffold: SCTD_contig0002115
AUCCAGCUGACGAGCCUCAAACGGGACGAAAUGCGCGUCCUGGAC